GGGGUCUUAGUGCAGUGGUAGCAUGCAUGCUUUGCACUAUUAAUAGACUUGCAUGAUGCAUGAGGUCAUGAGUUCAAUCCUCACAGACUCCA